CCUACGGGAGACAGCAGUGAGGAAUAUUGGUCAAUGGACGCAAGUCUGAACCAGCCAUGCCGCGUGCAGGAAGACGGCGCUAUGAGUUGUAAACUGCUUUUGUACGAGGGUAAACGCAGAUACGCGUAUCUGACUGAAAGUAUCGUACGAAUAAGGAUCGGCUAACUCCGUGCCAGCAGCCGCGGUAAUACGGAGGAUUCAAGCGUUAUCCGGAUUUAUUGGGUUUAAAGGGUGCGUAGGCGGGUGGAUAAGUUAGAUGUCAAAUGUCGGGGCUUAACCCCGUGCCUGCCUAUGAUACUGUUAGCCUAGAGUGCGGCUGCGGCAGGCGGAAUGCGUCGUGUAGCGGU
rnacentral:rRNA from 1 species